rnacentral:lncRNA from 10 species
GGGAAAUUGAAGUCUAAGAUGUCAAACAAUUGAUGCACAAACUUAAUCAAGGUAUACCAAGACCUCUGGCUUCUUCCCAGAAAGCUGCUAAAUAUCAGCAAGGACAUGGCUAGAGAUCUUGAUUCUCGCUUUUUUUGAUGUUUCUAUGAAAGAACCAAGAGAGAUUUCUUCAGCAGACAGUGUUUCCAAUGAGUGAAUUUUCUUUAAUAACUCCAAAUUCUUCAGGGAAAACUUCCACCCACACAGCAGUGAUGACUGCUGGUGCUCUGAGGGAAUUACGGCACAUAGUAAUAAAAGAUGUAUAGAAUUUCUACAUCAGCAACGUGAAGUCCAGCCCAGCACCCUAGUAUGGAGAACAGAUGGAGUUCCAGAAGGUAGAAGCCCAUACCGGAACUGGGGGCAGUGGAGGGGAUGCCAUGUGGAAAAUUGGUUGCCAAACUGAGGCCUCAGAAAUGAAUGUGAAAUAAACCUUCUCCUUCACAAAUGGCUACUGUUUGUGAUUGUCUAAAUAAAAGGAUUCAUCCACGC